GUGAGAGACCGUGUGUGUGAGAGGCUGUGUGUGAGAGACCGUGUGUGUGAGAGGCCGUGAGUGUGGGAGGCUGUGUGUGGGAGAGAGUGGGCUGGCGAGGGAGAGGAGAGCGUGUGUGUGGGGCGUGAGAAGCGCGCGCACACUGUCGCGCUCUCGUGGGUCCGCGGCCGCCUGGCCCCGGGGCUGUGGGGCGCGCGCCUGUCCCGAGCCGCCGGCCGGCCUGUGCGCGUCACCGCCCCUGUCCCGGGCCCCUCGGAGGCUCCGCGCGUGCUGCCUGGCGGGGUUGGUUGGUGCAGCCUUGGGAGCGUCCGGUGGGGUGUCUGCCUUUGUGUGUGUUUCAAUAACUGGGACUUUCAGGUUGUGAAAUGGAAAAAAAAAAUGUAAUGGACCCAAUAUUAGGCAACUGCUUUGGAGGAAUUUGCAGAUUACCAAGAAAGAAGUCACUGAUCCUUCACUUAAGAAUGAAAGGAAGAAGUCAAUGAAGAGAUGUGUGGUGAGCCAUGUUGUGAAAGGUGUGGAUAUGCUUCUACCUUUGGCUGCACGAAUACUAUAAACUUGACACGAGAAAAACUUUUGAAGA